rnacentral:lncRNA from 1 species
AUGUGCAUCUGCCAGGACUGGAAAUGUUGUCCUCCGUACGUGACUGAAGCAGUUACAAGCAUGAAUGGUUUGUUAACUGCUCAUAUCUUAGAAAAGGAAGCUUUGAAGAAAACCAUGACCAAGUCAAGAGUGCGAGAACAGUGCUUACAGCAGGAGAGAAAAUGAAGUGGAUGUUUUGACAAUGGACAGCCCCACCAAAGACAUCACACAUGUACUUGGACUGUUUCAUCACCAACCUGAAUAUUAUCAUAAUAAGGAGUAAAAAUAAUCAAAAGUUCUCAUAGCAUUUGGGUAAGUAACAUGUGUCCUAUAGAAAAAUGCAUUCUGUGUUUUAAAAAAUAGCUUAAAAUAUGGGGGCCAACAUUGUGGUGUAGUGGGUAAGCCCCAGCCUGUGAUGCCAAUAUCCCAUAUGGGCACCAGUUCAAGUCCUGGUUGCUCCACUUCUGAUCCAGCACCCUGAUAAUGACCUAGGAAAGCAGGGGAAGGGGGUCUAAGUGUUUGAGCCCCUGGACCUACAUGGGAGACCCAGACAGAGCUCCUGGCUCCCAGAUUCGGCUUGGCUUAGUCCCAGCCGUUGUAGCCAUCUGGGACGUGAACCAGUGGAUGGAAGAUCGGGGAUGGGGGGGGAUUAUGUGUCUCCCUCAGUCUCUUAUUCUGACUUCAAAUAAAUAAAUAAAUCUUAAAAUAAAAAGCUUAGGA